UACGGGGGGGGCAAGCGUUGUUCGGAUUUACUGGGCGUAAAGGGUGCGUAGGCGGCGGGGAAAGUCUGAUGUGAAAUCCUGGGGCUCAACCCUGGAACUGCAUUGGGAUACUUCCUUGCUAGAGUACUGGAGAGGAAACUGGAAUUUACGGUGUAGCAGUGAAAUGCGUAGAGAUCGUAAGGAAGACCAGUGGCGAAGGCGAGUUUCUGGACAGUUACUGACGCUGAGGCACGAAGGCCAGGGGAGCAAACGGG
rnacentral:rRNA from 1 species